CACACCUACAACCUGUCCCCGGGGUGCGUGUACCCAGACCCCAGGCUUGGUUUAAAGUUCUGCUAGCCACCUCUUGGAGUUCUUAAUAUGUUUUGAACAAGUAACACCGCAAUUUUAUUUGGCACCGGGCUCUGCAAAGUCUGCAGCCUGCCUUGCCCGCCGCCCCCUUCAGCCUGGCUCCUGCUACAUUAAUUUUGUCAUAAAUUCUUCAAGGGUGAGGUGUGUCCAAAGGAAACAGCCUUGGAGAAGCUGAAGGAGUCACAGCUACUGGAGGAACGGGAAUUGGCCGAGUCCCGGGACCCGAGGAGCAGGAGGACCAUUGGUGCCGCAGUCUAGCCCGCUGUCUCGCAUUCUCUCCCCGGACCUCGCUCUGCCCUGGCAGCGUCCACCCCCGGCAGGGACAAAAACAAAGCACAAAGAGCGACCUGAAGUGUCUCCUUAUCGGAAGCCUGAUACGAGACUGGAAUGUCGGCCAGAGCCAAGGAAUUUGACAAAAGGAGCUUUAUGUGGGACAGGACAGUGCCUUCAUCCUGUUCCGGGGCUGGGUCGGGUCUCGGGGGCUCUGCUCCGCGGAAACCCCUCUCCGGGCCUGCUCCACGUGCCGGGUCCAGAGCUAGUGUGCCCCUCGGCCAGGUGCUUGGGGGCAGGGAGCGGAGUGUCGUGGUCAGGGAGGCAGGUCCCGGGGUCCCAUGGGCCUGAGGUCGAAGCCACCAAUGCCAAGUUACACCGGCCACAGCCGGGGAUUUCGUACCUCCAAAACUCCCCGUCUGUCGUGACGCAUCGUAACGGGAACUUUUUAAAGGUAGCUCUGAGAAUUAGGAGAGGGGAUACAGGUAAGAGCAGUGAGUAUAGCGCCCAGAAAAGGGGAAGAAAGACAGAAGGAAGGAAGGAAGGAGGGAAGGACGGAGGAGGGGAGGGACCCCAUCUGAAGCAAGCUUACCCGAAGGAAGCAGCAGUUACCUGGCUGUUCUGUGGCUAAAAUGUCCCCAAGCCUAUCCCCUGACAUUCUGUGUCCCCCUCUGUCCAAAGUGGCCUGGAUGCCUCACACAUGUCACCUGGCUUCGAGGUGGGAUUUGAGAGAGUUGUCUGAUUCUUGAACUCUUCUCGCCGUGCUCCCUAGUGAUGACCGCUGGCCGCCACCGGCACGUUGAAGGGAGCACUGGGACUGGGAAUGGGCCAUCCCAGGGCUGGGGGAUGGAGAGCUACAAACCCCAAAGCUUUGGUCCAUGCCCAACCCUCUCUCCCCCAGCCAGAGCCCCCAGGCACCCGUGCUCGCUUCGGACACCCCGUCAUUGGAUGCAGCCAAGCGAGCAGAUCGUUGACAGGAAGGCCACUUCCGCAGAAGACCUGGAGGGCCCCCCUCGCUGUCCCUGGGAGAUGGAGGGGAUGACUGCUCUCAGCUGUCCCCCUCACCGGUACCCUGCGGGCAGUUGGGAGGUGGGUGGGGCCUGGUAGAUUCCUUCCAGCAGCUCAACAGAAAGGAUCUGAUAAGGUUUAAAUAGCACCUUCUCCCUCCUCUCCUUGGGGAGCUCCAAGGAUGACCUCACCCUGCCACUACCUACGAGCCAAGAAAACAGGGCUGGGCCUCCCAUUCUAGAAGGGGAAAGGGAAUCCCUAUAGGGGAGCAAAUAGGACCAGCCUAUCAGCCCCUCCCAGGCACGACUGGUCAUCCUGGCUUCCUGGGUGCUGAUGGCUAAGCACUCGUCAGACACCUUCUGGAUGAAAUACGAUUUGCUUUGGGAUAGGUACCGGAUAA